rnacentral:rRNA from 1 species
ACCGCAGCAAUUGACGUUACCCGCAGAAGAAGCACCGGCUAACUCCGUGCCAGCAGCCGCGGUAAUACGGAGGGUGCAAGCGUUAAUCGGAAUUACUGGGCGUAAAGCGCACGCAGGCGGUCUGUCAGCGCCACCCUGAUCAAGAAUGGUGCGGGAGUCGAUCUUGCUGGAUACGGUAAAAGCGAUACGGGUUGGAAUGUUGGCUUUAAUUAAACCAGUAAUCACAUCGACCGACGGACGCUGCGUCGCCA